GUCAUCCCACCUGAUUGGACUCCCACGCACAUCAUAGGACCUACAGUUGUUCUUGUCCUGUUACUGCUGGUGGGGCUGGUCGGCAUCACAGCUUGGAGUAAGAUGCGGCGCAAACGCCAGGGAAUGAGCAGCAAUGCGCACCAGCCGGGCCCGGGGGAGACCCCGAUGUCUGAACGCAUCUACGAGAACGCCCAGGACUAUGGCCUGGGGAAGCCAACCCGCCUGGCCCCACCCGGGCCCCCCAGCGCGACCACCGAGCUGC